AAAGCACCUACAAUUCCAUCCCCAAUGGAUCCCUCCGCACGCAUUGUUAAACAUGGAAAUGGGGAGGGAAAUCAUAAAGACCGAACAAACCUUCAUCCACCAACUAGGCUGGGCAAAAAGGCCGUUGUUCACGAAGGUGCUGGUGAUAUCAAUGAUCAGACCAUUCGUAAAGUUCUUAGCAACCUUACACAAUAUUCAACCCCUCCUCGAUAUGGUGACCAAUGUCAAGUAAGGGUUUCAAUCUAUUUCUCAUUUUUGGCAAUUGUUCUGAACUUAUACAAAAUUCCAAUGUAUGCUGGUCGCGCUUGUUGUCUGAAGAGUUUGUACUUACAAACAUGAAACAUCAAAUUCCCAUGGCACCAAACGUUUCGUCGCUCACUUUAGCAAGCGUUCCUAAGCAGAUACCAGCACGCAAGAGUACAAAGUAUCAACAGCUAGUGUCCACGCUUCUGCAUUGAGAUCUUUCUCUCUGGAAACAUAUUACUCCUUGAUGAAAUAUAAAGACAAUAGAAAACAAAAAAGGAAAUAGAUGUUUCUUGAAAACAUAACUUUCUCCUUCCCAUUCCAGAAAUUUUCUUGAAAUACAGUGAUACAGAUUGUUCUUGAGAUCGGGUUGGAUCAAGGAAACAUUAGAUGAUUGAUUUGUUCUUGAGAUUCAAGAGGAUGGGGGAGAGAGAGAAUUAGGGUUUGUUUAUUUUUCUUUUGAGGGGAAAUUGGUUGUGUGAUUGUGUCUUGUGAGUCAAGAAAUAUGGUGGAGAGUAAGACAUGGCGAUAAAUGAGGAGGGG
rnacentral:lncRNA from 1 species